rnacentral:rRNA from 1 species
GAUGAACGCUGGCGGCGUGCUUAACACAUGCAAGUCGAACGGAAAGGCCCUGCUUUUGUGGGGUGCUCGAGUGGCGAACGGGUGAGUAACACGUGAGUAACCUGCCCUUGACUUUGGGAUAACUCCAGGAAACUGGGGCUAAUACCGGAUAGGAGCUCCUGCUGCAUGGUGGGGGUUGGAAAGUUUCGGUGGUUGGGGAUGGACUCGCGGCUUACCAGCUUGUUGGUGGGGUAGUGGCUUACCAAGGCUGCGACGGGUAGCCGGCCUGGGAGGGUGACCGGCCACAUGGGGACUGAGAUACGGCCCAGACUCCUACGGGAGGCAGCAGUGGGGAAUAUUGCAGAGUGGGCGGAAGCCUGAUGCAGCGACGCCGCGUGCGGGAUGACGGCCUUCGGGUUGUGAACCGCUUUCGCCGGUGACGAAGCGUGAGUGACGGUAAUUGGUAAAGAAGCACCGGCUAACUACGUG